GUGCCAGCCGCCGCGGUAAUACGUAGGUGGCAAGCGUUAUCCGGAAUUAUUGGGCGUAAAGCGCGCGUAGGCGGUUUUUUAAGUCUGAUGUGAAAGCCCACGGCUCAACCGUGGAGGGUCAUUGGAAACUGGGAAACUUGAGUGCAGAAGAGGAAAGUGGAAUUCCAUGUGUAGCGGUGAAAUGCGCAGAGAUAUGGAGGAACACCCGUGGCGAAGGCGACUUUCUGGUCUGUAACUGACGCUGAUGUGCGAAAGCGUGGGGAUCAAACAGGAUUAGAAACCCCCGUAGUCC
rnacentral:rRNA from 1 species